UCUCCGUAGGUGAACCUGCGGAAGGAUCAUUACAGAGUUCUCGACCUCGCGGGUACAUCUCCCACCCACUGUUAUCGUUACUAUCGUUUCUUUUUCGGGCAGCCGUGUCCCCGGCUGCCGGCGUAUAAUAGGUAGCGCGCGCACUGCAUAUGCGUUCGAACGCUGAGUUGUAUUUUCGUCUGGUUACUAUAUAAUAGUUAAAACUUUCACCGACGGAUCUCUUGGUACUGUCAUCUAUGAAUAACUCAGACGAUUGGGAGCGCAUAAGUACAAACCCAA
rnacentral:misc_RNA from 1 species